rnacentral:tRNA from 1 species
AAGAUGGGCCCUAGAAAGCCCCGCGGGCA